AUGUCGUUCCACUUCAUGAUUGUGUCCCACUUGUUGUUGAUUCUUCACAAAAAAAAUACAGUUUUAUAUCUUUGUUUGAAGCCUGAAAUGUGGCAAAAGGUCGCAAAGUUCAAGGGGGUUGAAUACUUUCGCAAGGCACUGUAUAUAAAUAUAUAAAAAUAUGUUUUCUGACACGUGAUCACUUUUAGAUAUGGUCAUUUUUAUAAAUUCAUUGAAUGUUUGAGAAUGAAGUAUAGUAAGGCAUUUGUGAAAAUUCUAUAAGAAUAUUGUCAGAGGACAGACUCAGUUUUUGAAAUUAUUUUUAUUGACUGUUCAACUCAACCUGAUCUUGGACAGUUUUUUUUUUAGUUUACCAGUGAUUUUGUGUGGCCUACCACUUCGCGGCUGAGCCGUUGUUGCUCCUAGACGUUUCCACUUCAAAAUACCACUUACAGUUGACCGGAGCAGAAAUUUGACAAACUGACUUAUUGGAAAGGUGUCAUCCUAUGACGGUGCCAUGUUGAAAGUCACUGAGCUCUACAGUAAAGCCAUUCUACUGCCAAUGAUUGUCUAUGGAGAUUUUAUACACCUGUCCGCAACGGGUGUGACUGAAAGAGCCGAACCCACUUAUUUGAAGGUGUCCAAAUACUUUUGUGUUAACGGUUAAGUCUUUGGAUAGUGGAUUUUGCAGAUUCCCUUGGCCUCCUGUUGGUUCACUUUUGUUCUUGCUGUGGUUUAUUUCUAGCCUUUUUUCUUUCAACGACAUGUUCAUUGACGAGCCUAACUUUUCUACCUUUGAAAGCCUCUGUAGAUUAACCUUCUGAUCUUUCUUUUUUGAUGUAAAUAAGGCGAACAAUGAUCUUUUUUCUAAUUUAAGAGUUGGCCUAGGCAUUGGUAAAAAAACCUAUGGAUCAUGUUUUUCUUUUUGUAAGUUUGUUUUUCAGCCAUUUUUGGAGUGACUUAUCUGUGGGCUAGUUUUUUCUUUUUUUGAGGAGAGAUUAAGAAAACACUGCUUCAAGACUUGCUUUGCAGUUACCCAUACUUUUCUCUUAUAAGGUCAACUAUGAAGUGAAAGUAUUUUUAAGGACACUUUCAUUGACAUUCUUAGGUGUACCUCUGACACCUGUUGCAUCACAAGGUAUGCAAGUAAAUGUGUGACAGAUGCGCAUUGCAGCUUUUUCUACUGUUUGCCAUUCAAACUUUAAAACAUGCAAACCGGUCUGGAAUGGUGUGCUUGUAUACAGUGUUUUGAUACCAGUUAUUCUAGAGCCUGACGGAUAUGGGAUUUUUGUAUCUAAUUUUAGAGGGGAAAUAUUCACAGAUAAUUGAUAUUGGGCCUAUAUUUUUAGGAUUUUAGCUGGAAUGAAACAUUUAAAAAUGUUUUCUGUAUGGAUUGUGAUUAAAAAGAUACUCAAAGAACAUUUAAUGUAAGCACCACAGAAAAAUUAGGAGCACCAGAAAGAUGCAGGAAAGAAAGUAAAUAAAAAAUGUACUCUAGUGAAAGGAAGAUAUACCGCCCUGAUUCCAGGAAACAACAUGAGCCUCUGAAGACUGAGCGGCCCCAUGCCAGAAUGAGGCUAGCAUUCCAUUUGUAGGGCUGUAGCCACUGGUAGUUGUCACUUGCAAGAUACAACAUUUUACGCUGGCACUGUGCUGCCACUCGCCCCUAAGUGUUGCUUCAGUGAAUGGUCCUUGCUAUCCGGGAUCCGUGAGACAACGCUACCGCAUAGUUUUGAAACGCCAUGUAAACACUGAGAAUGUAAAGCAACUUUUUUUUGUCUACCUGGCAUUUUCUUUGUUGGACUUUUUGUCACCUUUUUUAGACAAAUGAGUGAAUUGUCUUUAUUUAAAAAAAAAUUUUUUUUGUCAUUUUGACUCUAAUCCAAGUGCUUACAGUUUCGUGGAUGUUUUUGUGAUAUUCAUUUUUCUGAGCAGAUGUUAGUUUCAGCCAUUUUUGGAGGUUGAUUUAUUUAGUUUAUUUUUGCUUUUUUAUCCUGGGAGGAUUAACACAUUUUUUGAAGAAGUCUUCAUACUUCUCCCAUUUGUGGACUGCCUCAAAGGAGUUUCUUUCUGGCAUACUUUGGAGUGUCUUUGGAACAAAGGGUGCUGAGUCUCUGUGUCAACCGGCUGAGCAUGCGCCCCAAAAGCAGGAUGGUCUUUCUGUCCUCUCUGCCAUGUUUGAUGGAAUUCUACAGAAAUGAACGUGGUACCUGCAGGCGUUUGGAAAUGGCUCCCAAGGAUGAACCAGACUUCUGGAGGUCUACACUUUUUUUUUCUUUGAUGAUUUCUUUUGAUUUUCCCAUGAUGUCAAGCAAAGAGGCACUGAGUUUGAAGACUACCAUGGUGGUUUCCAGCUUCAGCCAGACUGGGACAGACGGGGAAGGGGAAACAAGUGAACAGAACAGAUAUUCGCCAGGACAAUCGCAGAAUGGUCACCAUGGAAACAUACCACCUGUACCAGUUCAGGACAUGAGAUCGCCACGUUGACCAUCUUUAAGACGAAACAGUCUCUGGGUAUCAGUAUCUCAGGUGGGAUGGAGAAUGAGAUGUUUCCAGGAGGAGCUGCCUCUACCAGUGACGUUCUGAUGGCGUGGUAUGAGCUGGUUUCAGUGGACGGUGAGUCUCUGCAGCGUGUGACCCAUCAGCAUGCAGUGUUCAGCAACAAGGCCAAAGACCCUGUGGUGUUUGUCAAGAUCCUCAAGGGACCAGCCGACUUGCAUCAGAGGAGUCCACUGUCAGGCUUACACAAGUACUACACACAGUAUUUUUAUUGAACCUUUAUUGAACUAGGAAAGUCAUUUUAAGGACAAAUUAUUUUUUACAAUGACGGCCUACACCGGCCAAACCCGGACGACGCUGGGCCAAUUGUGCGCCGUCCUAUGGGGACUCGCAAUCACAACCAUAUGUGAUGCAUUCUGGAUUCGAACCAGACUGUAGUGACGCCUCUUGCACUGAGAUGUAGUGCCUUAGACUGCUGCGCCACUCGAGAGCUCAGUACUGCUGGCCUGUCUACAAGAAUGCUCUGAGGUGCAGUUCACCCAUCCACUGGAAAUGGAAAUGAUUUGAAAUGGUUCCCCUGACGCAGAUGGUUCGCUCCAGCUAGGCUGCAAUGGAAGGGAAUGGUCUAUUCCCAGAGGAGAGGAGCAUGGGUACCUCGGGACCAAUAAGCAUGGGUACCUUACCUGGGACCAAUAAGCUUGCUUCUCCUCUAGGGCAAAAAGGUUAAUGGUUGUUUGCAUAGCAAACAGGAAAUACUGCGAAAUUAAAAUGUUUUUUUUUUACAGAUGUGGGACUACUGUGCUUGCUUUGUGUAUAACAAUAAUGUGAUAAAUACUAUUUAUCAAAGAUGAACUUGAUUAUAUGUAUCCUUUUUCUUAUAUGAACUUAACAUUUUGGAGAAAACACCCCUAAGAAUAAAAAUGUUAUCUAGCAUUGUCAGGAGUCAGCAGCUAGCUAUCCAUAUUAGCAUAUGUAUCAUCAAUGGACGGGGACUUUGAAAGCAGAGAACAAAAAACACACACACUUAACCACACACACACUGUUCCAGGAAGCAUCUCAGUCCAUGGACGUCCUGCCAGAGAGAGCCUUAUGAGAGGUAUAGUCCAGAUUAAGCCUCUGUAUUAUGUCAAAGGUCAUCGUUGUAGUUUAAUAGAUGUCUAAGGCAUCUGUUUUAACGUAGUGUUUCUGGCCUGUUUUAAAACUGUUUCUGGACAACAGAGUCCAUGUUCCUGGAUCAGGCGUGAUGACAGCUUUGUGGACUGAGCCUGUGAAGACGUAGGAGUUGGAGAACCUACAUGUUAAAUGCAGGAUAUGAGGACCAGUGGCAUGGUUUAAACUAGGGCUGGGGUGAGAGAAGAUAGGAGAGGGG
ensembl:lncRNA